ensembl:miRNA
GACCUUCAGCUGUCAGCGUGCCGGUUUUAAUUAUCUCUGCCGUUGAUGUCUGCAAGUCUC